ACGUAGGUGGCAAGCGUUGUCCGGAAUUACUGGGUGUAAAGGGAGCGCAGGCGGGAGAGCAAGUCGGCUGUGAAAACUAUGGGCUUAACCCAUAAGCUGCAGUUGAAACUGUUUUGCUUGAGUGCAGUAGAGGUAAGCGGAAUUCCGAGUGUAGCGGUGAAAUGCGUAGAUAUUCGGAGGAACACCAGUGGCGAAGGCGGCCUACUGGACUGUAACUGACGCUGAGGCUCGAAAGUGUGGGGAGCAAACAG
rnacentral:rRNA from 1 species